AAGGAAGGGGGCUAGUUAAGCUUUCAGAGUCCCUGAACACUCUAAGACUUAAAGUUAGAAUUUCUGAGCGGUGGCACGCAGGAUCUACAUUUGAAAGAACAGCCAUGGGGAAUUCAGGUGGCGCAAUAAAGUUGGAGAACCACCCCACUAAGUGUUCCCAAUUCAUUUUACAACCCUCCAUUAUUGCAAUUAAACUAUUCCCUUCCCCACCGUGUUCCUCUUGGGAGGGAAUGUCUCUUCAUUUCUGGGCUUUCAAGUACAGCCCUGCACUAUGUAGGCUGGGAGAGUGGCCUUGGGUUCUUAUUUGUGAAAUGAAUGAAAUGUCCAGAGCUGGAGCCCUGGUGUCUCGACCCCCCCUGACCCACAACUUCCCUACCCCAUCAUGGGUUAUCUCCAUAGGUCUCUGAAUUCUUAAUGAAAGCAUUUCCUGCUUGGCUAUGCCUGAACAUCAUAUGCAAACUUAACCUCACACACCCACGUGGAGAGAUCCUGGGAAGAAUGGGGCUUAUGGAGGAUUGAUUGCUCUAAGGAAAGUCAAAGUGUGGUCCGCAGCAGGGGUGCCAGAGCACCUGGCUCCAGGGGUCCCAAGCUGGGUUUGGCCACUCCCCGCUGAUAAAAUCCAAAGGCAGAGAGAUGAGUGGUGGAGAAACAAGAAAGGGAUUUUAUUUCAGUGAGGCCAACACCAGGAAGACAGUGGACUAGCUUCUCAAAGACUGUUUCCAAAGUGCUGAAAAUACUUCCAGGUUAUGUAAGGAGAAAGUGGGACAAAGGUUGGUCAAUACAGGCAGGUGGGCAGUGAAGGUCAAGUCGUCAUUGUCUUGGGGUCAAUCCCAGGCAGGUGUUGCUGGCUCAGGGCCGUCUUGAUUGCUUGAGGGGGUCGUUUUGUUCCCAUCAGGGAUGCUUUGCCCUCAGGGUCUUUUGCCUAAGUUAAGAGACAAGCUGGAAAGAACAACUUAAUCAGUUAGAAAGUUUGAGGUCAAAACGAGGUUAAGUCCUCCUUCAAACUUGAGGUGCUCUGAAGUCAAGGGAGUAGAAGGGCACCUGGCUGGCUCAGUCGGUAGAUUGUGCAACUCUUGACUUCAGGGUUGUGAGUUCAAGCCCCACAUUGGGUGUAGAGAUUACUCAAAAAUAAAAUCUUAACAACAACAACAUGAAGUUAAGUGAGUGGAAUCAACACGAAUUCAGAUGCACAAGACCUCUACAGCUGGUGUCUGUUCUGAGUGUCACCCAAGUUUCCCCCCAAACCUAUCAAGGAGUUAAAACAUACUCCGGAAAAGAACCCUGGAAUGUAACAGUUAAGGUGGAUGCUCGGGACAUAAUGAGUCCUAACAGAAGGCUUGUGUGUGGCUUGUCUGGAGAAAUUAUAGGGUAUCUCCCACACUACCCAAGGAUAAAGAUGCUCUGAUACUAUUGGCUAGUGCUGUUCGUUUAGAGAGAACUAGUCCAAAAGAAUGGCAGUUCAUCUUAGAAGAAAUCAUUAUAUCUCCUAAGAACAGCAAAUCCCCUUUCUUUAAUCAGAGACUUUACUGACCACCUCCCAUGGGUCACGGGCCUUUACUAGCUGCUGGAGAUAUGACCGUAGGCUAACAGGCACAGUACUUGCUCUUAAGGAGUCAGUAUUGUUGCCACCCAGUCACUCAAAUCCCAGUCUGUCAUUUGGUACGCUUUGUGGAUUUGCCUGGCAAGGCAUAGGACUCUGAGCAAGUGACCAGAGCCAAUUAUUUGGCCAGCGAGCCCUCCUGUUCGCACACUGAUAACAUUCCAGUUUUGAAUCACCUGUGACUUGGGUGAAAGUGACACAUUUCCCAGAGUGUGGUCUCCUCUGGAUAAAUGCCUAUAAACCUGAGUCCGCUGGUGAGCUUGAUAUAACAGCCCUGCCCUGGGAAGGCCAGCAGCGGGCAGUGGCCAGCCUCCAGUGGCUCUCCAUUGCUGCACUGCCUUGGCUCCUCCCACCAGCCCCACGUCUGGAUCCCUUGCUUCCUGAAACAGGGCCUUCUAUUAGUCUGUCUAAUUUUGCGUUUCUUGCAGGUGUCCUUGCCUGCCCUGGUAGCCCACUGAGAGGUUGCUGAGGGGAUUCUUGGAGCAUCAAAUUCCAAAGAGCUUGAGUCAGAAGAAGCUUUGCAGCCCAGGGCUGACUUUGAAGGAAGAGGGGGCAGGGGCGGCUGAUGUUACAGGUCUAAAUGUUGGACGAAGCUAUUCAUGGACAGGUCAUUUCCUGGCUGUAGGUCAGGGUGGGAACUGGACUCCUGCAUUCUGUGUUCCUUGCUGGAGACCAUGCUUGCUGGAAUCAAGUACCUGGGAGGAUGACAUCACAAACGACCUGAAGCACUGUGCUGGUUAAUUUUAUGUAUCAACUUGGCUAGACCGUGGUGCCCAGUUGUUUGGUGGGUGCCCACUUGACCCACCAUGGUGCUAGACCAUGGUGCCCAGACACAGCCUGUUGCUGUGAAGGUAUUUGGUAUGUGAUUAACAUUUGCAAUCAACUGACUUGACGUGAAAGAGAUUACCCUCCAUCCAUAAUAUGGGUGGGCCUCACCCAAUCAGUUGAAGGCCUUAAGAGCCAAAAUUGAAGCUUCCUGGAUAGGAAGGAAUUCUGUCUUAAGAUUGUAACAUGGAAGAACUGCUUGAGUUUCCAGACUGCUGACCUGCUGUAUGGAUUUUGGUCUUGCUAGCCCCUACAGUUGUGUGAGCCAAUUCCUUAAAAAUCUCUUUCUCUCUCUACAUGUACACACACGUAUGUAUGUAGGUGUGUGUGUGUGUGUGUGUGUGUCUUUAAUCUCAGGACCCUUGCCUCAGCCCUGGAUUUUGGUAAGAGCAUUGGGAAUAAGAGCCAUGAUGACAAAGAAGUCAGGUCUUCUCCACCAGUUCAAGUCUGUCUACACCAGGGGAAGACUCAUGUAGUCCCCAGGGGUUAAGAGGUUAAUAUGGAGCUUUUAUACAUCAGUUUAGUACAUGACAGUGGUGAACAAUGAUGAAUUUGGGUGCUUCAUAUCCUGGUGCUUCCAUUUACCCUGUUAAUAAUAAUAGUUCUGAAUUUGCAUUUACAAAUACACUCGAAUUUUGUAACUUUGUAUGGUGACAGAUGGUGACUAAGUCUAGUGGUGUUCAUUUCACAGUGUAUGCAAAUAUCAAGUCAUUAUUGUUGUACACUUGAAACUAAUAUAAUGUCAUAUGUCAAUUAUACUUCAGUUAAAAAAAAAAGGAAUA